AAAUAUUGCUUUAGUUUUAUUUGUAUAUUAUUUUUUUAAUAAUUUAGUUUCUUUUUAAGUAAUUUUAAAAUUAUCAAGAAUAUAAUAUAUUUAAAAUUAUUUAUUUAAAUAUAUUCAAAUAUGAUGUCUCAUUUUUAUGUGUGUUUGCGUUGAGCAUAUUUAAUAACACCUUAUUGUGUGUCGUUCUAUGGUUUUAAUAAAUUUGUUGUCAUUUCAUUUUUAUUACUACUAACAUGAUUUUUUAGUGAUCAGUGAUAAUGUAUUUUUAACGUUAUGUAUUAUAUUUUAUAAUAUAUUUUUUAACUCUUCGUGCUGUCACCUUUUUUAGAAUCAUUUUAAUCAGAUAAUAGAUUUAAAGAUGUAAAUAAAACUGUGUACGUUGUAAAUUUAGACUUUUUAGUGUAGUUGAGCACUAUCAAUUAUGGAAAUUAUAUUAUGAUUUUAUUUUACUAAAUCUUUCUUUCUGUGUAUUUUUUUUUUUUUUUAUUUUUACAAUUUUAUUGCAUUAUUCUUUAAUUGCAAAGAAUCGAUAUUUCUAAUUUUUGUUUCAUAUACCUUAAAAGUCUUCGGUUGAUUUUUGUUUGUUUUCUUUCUCCAAUUAUAAUGUACAGUUCGACCGUUUCUUCUUUUUUUGGGAUCAAACUACUAAUAUCAUCAGAUAUUAAAAGCUUAAACUCUAAGAAUGGAGUGAGAAUUUGUGCUAGAGAAAACUGAUUUAACCACUAAUAUAGUGAGAUAUUAUAAUAUUAGAAGGUAUGGAAACUCUUCUAUGUUUUUCUACGCUGGACAUAAUUAAGUUGUUGUCAAUUGAUUCUAUAUUUGUGAUAACUGGAAAUACAUCUUUAUGUCUUCCUUACAUCAUCCUUAAUUGGUUUACGGUUCGACCAUUUCUAAUAUACUGAGAGUAACAUAAAAUUAGAUGUUGAUCAUCUCCUCCCAAUUAGGAAUGCAUAGAAUAAGAGAAAUUCAAGAUGAUACCACUUUACAAUUUUGUCCUCAUAUCUAUAUAUAGUUAGUUUAUAGAUUACUC
rnacentral:lncRNA from 1 species